UAAGGCCCUUUCGGGGGUACACGAGCGGCGAACGGGUGAGUAACACGUGAGUAAUCUGCCCUUCACUUCGGGAUAACCACCGGAAACGGUGGCUAAUACCGGAUACGACCAGUCUCCGCAUGGGGUGCUGGUGGAAAGUUCUGGCGGUGGAGGAUGAGCUCGCGGCCUAUCAGCUUGUUGGUGGGGUAGUGGCCUACCAAGGCGACGACGGGUAGCCGGCCUGAGAGGGUGACCGGCCACACUGGGACUGAGACACGGCCCAGACUCCUACGGGAGGCAGCAGUGGGGAAUAUUGGACAAUGGGCGGAAGCCUGAUCCAGCAACGCCGCGUGAGGGAUGACGGCCUUCGGGUUGUAAACCUCUUUCAGUACCGACGAAGCGCAAGUGACGGUAGGUACAGAAGAAGCACCGGCCAACUACGUGCCAGCAGCCGCGGUAAUACGUAGGGUGCGAGCGUUGUCCGGAAUUAUUGGGCGUAAAGGGCUCGUAGGCGGUUUGUCGCGUCGGGAGUGAAAACUCGGGGCUUAACUCCGAGCCUGCUUCCGAUACGGGCAGACUAGAGGUAUGCAGGGGAGAACGGAAUUCCUGGUGUAGCGGUGAAAUGCGCAGAUAUCAGGAGGAACACCGGUGGCGAAGGCGGUUCUCUGGGCAUUACCUGACGCUGAGGAGCGAAAGUGUGGGGAGCGAACAGGAUUAGAUACCCUGGUAGUCCACACCGUAAACGUUGGGCGCUAGGUGUGGGACUCAUUCCACGAGUUCCGUGCCGCAGCUAACGCAUUAAGCGCUCCGCCUGGGGAGUACGGCCGCAAGGCUA
rnacentral:rRNA from 1 species